UAUCUCCUCUUUCUCCAUUUUACUUUUUCUAUGAAAAUUAAUUUUUCUAUUUGGAAUCUCAAAUUUCACCUCUUCUUCCUUGAUUGUUCGUCCUUCUAAUUGUGUGCUAUUUUUGUUGAUGUAUCUCUUCCCUAAUUUUUUGUUGUUUUAGUGCAGUUUCUUUGAUUUUAAUCAUUAUGACAACUUUUAAAUUGUCUCUUAUUAGAUUUUAUACGUACUUAUUAACAAUUUUUUUCUAAUUUAUUCAUGCAUGUCUGGAUUCUAUCUCAAAGUCUCUUUUAUAAAUUUACUUUUUCGUUUGUGCUGUUAAAAUCUAUGUAACUAGAUGUGCCUCUGCUUAUUUAUUUUUUAAAUUCUAACAAGUAUUCUGUAGUUGCAACAACUAAUUCAAUUUAAGUGACACACUUAAGGUGUUUGAUAGUAUGUCUAAACUAACUAAAUUUUUUUCUACGGAUUUUCUUUUAUGUAUUCAUUUGUACGUGAAUGAUCCAAAAGCUGCAGAUUUGAAUAAGUUUGUCCUAGGAAAGAGGCAAAAGUUAUACUGAAAGAAGUUGAAGGCAAAAGCUUCUAAUUUUUGUAUAAAUCAGACUGCUCGGAGGGAAUGGCUAUAUUGAUUCUUUUAGUAAUAUAAAUAUGGAGGAGUAAAUUUCAUUUGAAUUUUCAAAUUAUGGUUUGUUUCACAUUAAACAUGUUAGCACACAAUAAAGUUUUGACGUUUCUAGCUCAUAUUUCGAAAAGUAAAAGGCUGAAGAACAAUGUUUCUUUUCUCUAUUUAUUUAAAUAUAUCAUUCAAUUAUAAAUAUAAUUUAGAAUUGUAAUUGUGAUUAAGCUUCCUUUUAUCGUUCGAUUUUUCCUUGCUUUCAAGAUUCACACUCUCUAUGUAGUACGCAACUCAUAAAAUAUAUUUAGUGAAUGAUUUUCUCGGAGAAAAUAUGUUUUGUUGAUGUUCUUUCAAAGAUGUUUGCUCAUAAAAUGCCCCCUUUCUUUAUUUGUGAAGAGAAAACAUUUUGAUACUUCUUAACAAUGUCUAGCUUGCACCUACUAUGAUGUCAAUGUAAGCGACAUAAUAUGAGAUGUGCAAAGGAGCAUAUGUUAGCCCCUGCAUAUUACUAUAUACUAUUAAAUUAGUAACAAUAAUAGGAUAAAUAUUGUGUUUUUAGCAACAUUUAGGGUUGUUCUUUGAAGGAGUACUCUUUUUCCCUUUCUUUUUUACUUUGUGUGGAAGACAAUUUAAUUAAGUGUUAGACUAAACCAUAGCCCAUAUAUAGAAAGAGUAGUUACACUAUUAUGGGUAGUGAUAGCAUUAAGAUUCUAAGGUUGCGAAAGUAUCUUAUACAUAUGGUACUAAUUUAGGAGAAACUAAUUCAUCAUUAUGUGCUUGUAGUUUUGAUAUAAGAUACUAAUUUAGGAGAAACUAAUUCAUCAUUAUUUGCUUGUAGUUUUGAUAUAAGAUACUAAUUUAGGAGAAACUAAUCCAUCAUUAUUUGCUUGUAGUUUUGAUAGUGCAUCUUCUGGAGAAGUUGACAUGAUAGUAAUUUAAUAUUUUAAAUGAUCAUAUUUCAAUUCAAGAUUUCAAGUUUAAAAUUUAAUUUUCUCGUUCAUUUUAUAUUUAUCCAGUAGCGUAGAUUUUAAUUGCUUAGUUUUAACUAACCUUAAAACAUAUUCAAGCUGCACUUGUGGGACGGGACUAUUCGGUUGAGUCUCUUCUUGCGAAGAGGCACCAGAUCAGGGGGCUCAUCUUCUCCCCAAUGGGAGAAGCGCAAUUUACCAAGUCAAAGCAAGGGGUUGAAAAAGCACCACAAGGGACGGGAACGACGUCCUGAAUGCUUAACAUUGCAGGACCGUAACAUGGGAAUUUUCCUUCAUUGCUUAGCUUUGAUCAUCAAGGGUGGUCACUUAUACAUCUCUAAAUCUCUACCUGAGAAUUUAACAAAGAUAUCUUACAUGCCAAGAUUUUGAUACAAUGAGAGCUUUCAUGAAGAAAGUGUGAUCAAUCUUGAGGCCUGCUUUGUGACCGAAUUGUUCAGGAACAUCAAAACGAUAGCUGAGUGCCUUGCUGAUGAAUUCAUCAAUGCUGCCAAGGGUUCUUCAAAUAGCUAUGCUAUUAAGAAGAAGAACGAGAUUGAAAGGGUUGCCAAGGCUAAUCAUUAAGAGAUUGAUGUUGGAGCAAUUUUCUCUCGAGACUUUUUGGUUAUGUUAUUUUUUCAUUUAUGUUUUCAUGUAGGCAUUAUAGCAUCUGCUACUCCUUAUGGAUUUAGUUUGUUGGAGGAUUUAUGUUUGGUAUUGUUAUAAAUGUUAAACUUUGAAGUUUUUUUUUCGGGUUCUCAGUAGAAUUUUGUUAACACACAUGGUAUGGUUUGAUUUUCUUUAGACGUUUUAAGUAUGAAGAUACUUCAACUCUAUUUGUUAGCCCAUUAUGCAAAUAGUCCUGUUUGACCCCUCCCCCCCCC